rnacentral:rRNA from 1 species
UGCAAGUCGAAGCGGACAGAUGGGAGCUUGCUCCCUGAUGUUAGCGGCGGACGGGUGAGUAACACGUGGGUAACCUGCCUGUAAGACUGGGAUAACUCCUGGAAACCGGGGCUAAUACCGGAUGCUUGUUUGAACCGCAUGGUUCAAACAUAAAAGGUGGCUUCGGCUACCACUUACAGAUGGACCCGCGGCGCAUUAGCUAGUUGGUGAGGUAAUGGCUCACCAAGGCAACGAUGCGUAGCCGACCUGAGAGGGUGAUCGGCCACACUGGGACUGAGACACGGCCCAGACUCCUACGGGAGGCAGCAGUAGGGAAUCUUCCGCAAUGGACGAAAGUCUGACGGAGCAACGCCGCGUGAGUGAUGAAGGUUUUCGGAUCGUAAAGCUCUGUUGUUAGGGAAGAACAAGUACCGUUCGAAUAGGGCGGUACCUUGUUUGUAUCUAACCAGAAAGCCACGGCUAACUACGUGCCAGCAGCCGCGGUAAUACGUAGUUUGGUUAGCGUUGUCCGGAAUUAUUGGGCGUAAAGGGCUCGCAGGCGGUUUCUUAAGUCUGAUGUGAAAGCCCCCGGCUCAACCGGGGAGGGUCAUUGGAAACUGGGGAACUUGAGUGCAGAAGAGGAGAGUGGAAUUCCACGUGUAGCGGUGAAAUGCGUAGAGAUGUGGAGGAACACCAGUGGCGAAGGCGACUCUCUGGUCUGUAACUGACGCUGAGGAGCGAAAGCGUGGGGAGCGAACAGGAUUAGAUACCCUGGUAGUCCACGCCGUAAACGAUGAGUGCUAAGUGUUAGGGGGUUUCCGCCCCUUAGUGCUGCAGCUAACGCAUUAAGCACUCCGCCUGGGGAGUACGGUCGCAAGACUGAAACUCAAAGGAAUUGACGGGGGCCCGCACAAGCGGUGUAUCAUGUGGUUUAAUUCGAAGCAACGCGAAGAACCUUACCAGGUCUUGACAUCCUCUGACAAUCCUAGAGAUAGGACGUCCCCUUCGGGGGCAGAGUGACAGGUGGUGCAUGGUUGUCGUCAGCUCGUGUCGUGAGAUGUUGGGUUAAGUCCCGCAACGAGCGCAACCCUUGAUCUUAGUUGCCAGCAUUCAGUUGGGCACUCUAAGGUGACUGCCGGUGACAAACCGGAGGAAGGUGGGGAUGACGUCAAAUCAUCAUGCCCCUUAUGACCUGGGCUACACACGUGCUACAAUGGACAGAACAAAGGGCAGCGAAACCGCGAGGUUAAGCCAAUCCCACAAAUCUGUUCUCAGUUCGGAUCGCAGUCUGCAACUCGACUGCGUGAAGCUGGAAUCGCUAGUAAUCGCGGAUCAGCAUGCCGCGGUGAAUACGUUCCCGGGCCUUGUACACACCGCCCGUCACACCACGAGAGUUUGUAACACCCGAAGUCGGUGAGGUAACCUUUAGGAGCCAGCC